rnacentral:rRNA from 1 species
ACGCGUAGGCAAUCUGCCCUUAGUGGGGAAUAAGCUCGGGAAACCGGGUCUAAUACCGCAUGUUAUCCUUUGUCGCAUGGCAUUUGGAUCAAAGCCUUCGGGCGCUUAGGGAUGAGCCUCGUCCUAUUGGCUUGUUGGUGAGGUAACGGCUCACCAAGGCGACGAUGGUAGCUGGUCUGAGAGGACGAUCAGCCACACUGGGACUGAGAUACGGCCCGACUCCUACGGGAGGCAGCAGUGAGGAAUAUUGCGCAAUGGGCGAAAGCUGACGCAGCUACGCCGCGUGAGCGACGAAACCCUUCGGGGUGUACAGCUUGUUCUGUGGGAAGAAUGCCAAUUCUAUUGGGAGAGACUGUACCACAGGGAAAGCACCGGCUAACUCCGUGCCCAGCAGCCGCGG